rnacentral:rRNA from 1 species
UACAGAGGGGGCGAGCGUUGUUCGGAAUUACUGCGCGUAAAGGGCGCGUAGGCGGCCUGCUAAGUCGGACGUGAAAUCCCUCGGCUCAACCGGGGAACUGCGUCCGAUACUGGCGGGCUUGAAUCCGGGAGAGGAAUGCGGAAUUCCAGGUGUAGCGGUGAAAUGCGUAGAUAUCUGGAGGAACACCGGUGGCGAAGGCGGCAUCCUGGACCAACACUGACGCUGAGGAGCGAAAGCCAGGGGAGCAAACGGG